AGGUGGGCUGUGGUGUGGGUGGCACC
rnacentral:piRNA from 1 species